CACGUGUCAGCAUUAUGGAUAGAGCUGUAUGGGCUACUGUUAACAAGCAUUGGAAUGAAUCCCAUACCAUUAUUGCAGGGGAGUUAGGAGCCCCUUUGUGUCUGCAUUCUGCUACUCCUAUUCAGGAAUCCACUGUUACAUUGUCUGUUCUAUUGAAACACAUUACUUUCUAUAUCACACAGUAAACACACACAUCGACACAGCUUUGUGAGAUGUGUGCACACUGACUGUAAGUAAAUAGAGAAAUCCCCCAGGGCAUUGUUUACUGGGUCCUUAUGCACAAUUUGCUGCAAAUACAUCUUAAUACUGUAAGUUACUGCUUUAUCACCUUUUGUCUAAAUGUAUCCUGCAAUGUCAAUAUACACAACAGACACUGAAUUCUGGCUUUCUCUUCUUUGCUCUCAUAGAAAGCUGGCAAUACAAAGCAGGCAGACACUGGGAGAGAAUGCACUAAACAAGCUGGAAAAAUGGUGUUAGAGAGAAAACAAAGGAUGGAAAAAAAAUGUAAGUCACAUGCAGUGUAUCUUUAUAUGACUUUAUUAUAUAAUUCAAAUAGUAAACCUGCCUAUACUUUAUAUAAUUAAUAACAAACUGCACCCCACUAUACUAUAAUAACAAACUGCACCCCACUAUACUAUAAUAACAAACUGCACCCCACUAUACUGUAAUACCAUACUGCACCCCCACUAUACUAUAAUACCAUACUGCACCCCCACUAUACUAUAAUACCAUACUGCACCCCACUACACUAUACCAACAUACUGCACCCCACUAUACAAUAAUACCAUACUGCACCCCCACUAUACUAUAAUAACAAACUGCACCCCACUAUACUAUAAUACCAUACUGCACCCCACUAUACUAUAAUACAAUACUGCACCCCACUAUACUAUAAUACCAUAAUGCACCCCCACUAUACUAUACCAACAUACUGCACCCCACUAUACUAUACCAACAUACUGCACCCCACUACACUAUAAUACCAUACUGCACCCCACUAUACUAUAAUACCAUACUGCACCCCCACUAUACUAUAAUAACAAACUGCACCCCCACUAUACUAUAAUACCAUACUGCACCCCACUAUACUAUAACAACAUACUGCACCCUACUACACUAUAAUAACAAACUGCACCCCACUAUACUAUAAUACCAUACUGCACCCCCACUAUACUAUAAUAACAUACUGCACCCCCACUAUACUAUAAUAACAAACUGCACCCCACUAUACUAUAAUAACAUACUGCACCCCCACUAUACUAUAAUAACAUACUGCACCCCCACUAUACUCUAAUAACAAACUGCACCCCCACUAUACUAUAAUAACAAACUGCACCCCACUAUACUAUAAUACCAUACUGCACCCCCACUAUACUAUAAUAACAAACUGCACCCCACUAUACUAUAAUAACAAACUGCACCCCACUAUACUAUAAUACCAUUCUGCACCCCACUAUACUAUAAUACCAUACUGCACCCCCACUAUACUAUAAUAACAAACUGCACCCCACUAUAUUAUAAUAACAAACUGCACCCCACUAUACUAUAAUAACAAACUGCACCC
rnacentral:lncRNA from 1 species